GUGCGUGUUUAUAGUACUAAUCAAAAUACACGUGUAUGUUCUGUCUAGGAAAGAUUGGAUUUUAAGUGAGACCGAUGUGACUCCUCCAAUCUUACCUGGGAAUGUAUCGAGCUGUAUCUUUGGUAAAAUACUAUUUAACGUACUUGUGUGUUGUUGUUUUUUCUUGACAGGUUGAAUCCCAAGAUCCUGAAGAGGAAUUAGUGGCGUCUAAUUUCCUAACAGAUGUUUCAUGUUUGGCUCCAUUGAUUAGUCCUCUGUUUAUUGAUCAAAUGUUCUCCUCUUUUUCCAUGUGGUGCUAUGGGUGAGGCUUAUUCAAUCGAGAGUAUAAAUGGUAAUACAUUGAGGAUGAAUCAGAGUUUUCAAGGCUAUGAUCUAGUUAGCUCAACCAACUUCAAUUUCAUGUGCUUUUUUGUAACUUUACAAAGUGGAACUGAAGUUUGUGACUUUGUUCUGCGGCUUGAUGUGAUAUUGCAACUCAGAUACAAGUGAAGGAAGAUGGAUCUAAGAGGAGCUUACUUUAUAUAGAGACAGCUGAUAGACCUGGAUUACUGGUAGAAAUCAUCAAUAUUAUUGCUGAUUUCAACAUUGAUGUAGAAUCAGCAGAGAGUGACGUAAAAAGACUUGCGUAAAAAAUCAUCAAUUGAUGAAGUAGAUGUGAGAAUCAAUGGGGGAUUUCUACAAUAUUCUGGGAUAUGUCAGCCUCACUUGUACUCAAAACAAUGGAAGCUAUACAGAGCACUUUCAUGAUGAGGAAGAUCGGGUUUCUUUCACUUGCUUGAAAGCAUUUUAAUCCCAAAAGGUAGUGAGAAUGCUUGCUUGUCUUCAAGUGAAAUCGGUUGUUGUGCUGACCGGAAUUGAAGAUCAUGUUAGCC